rnacentral:tRNA from 1 species
GGCCGCGUAGCGUAAUGGUUAACGCGCUAGUUUCCGGAGCUAGAGAUUGCAUGUUCGAGUCCUGCCGUGGUCG